AGUGAACGCUGGCGGUAGGCCUAACACAUGCAAGUCGAACGGCAGCACAGUAAGAGCUUGCUCUUACGGGUGGCGAGUGGCGGACGGGUGAGGAAUACAUCGGAAUCUACUUUUUCGUGGGGGAUAACGUAGGGAAACUUACGCUAAUACCGCAUACGACCUACGGGUGAAAGCAGGGGAUCUUCGGACCUUGCGCGAUUGAAUGAGCCGAUGUCGGAUUAGCUAGUUGGCGGGGUAAAGGCCCACCAAGGCGACGAUCCGUAGCUGGUCUGAGAGGAUGAUAGGCCACAAUGGAACUGAAACACGGCCCGGACCCCUACGGGAGGCAGCAGGGGGGAAUUUUGGACAAGGGGCGCAAGCCUGAACCAGCCAUACCGGGGGGGGAAAGAAGGCCUUCGGGUUGUAAAGCCCUUUUGUUGGGAAAGAAAAGCAGCAGGUUAAUCCCCCGCUGUUCUGACGGUACCCAAAGAAUAAGCACCGGCUAACUUCGU
rnacentral:rRNA from 1 species